rnacentral:rRNA from 1 species
UCCUACGGGGGGCAGCAGUGGGGAAUAUCGCACAAUGGGGGAAACCCUGAUGCAGCAACGCCGCGUGAAGGAAGACGGUUUUCGGAUUGUAAACUUCUGUUCUUAGUGAAGAAGAAUGACGGUAGCUAAGGAGCAAGCCACGGCUAACUACGUGCCAGCAGCCGCGGUAAUACGUAGGGGGCAAGCGUUAUCCGGAUUUACUGGGUGUAAAGGGGGCGCAGACGGCGAUGCAAGCCAGGAGUGAAAGCCCGGGGCCCAACCCCGGGACUGCUCUUGGAACUGCGUGGCUGGAGUGCAGGAGGGGC